UGGUGCAAUCUAUUCACGAGAUGUUCUCCUUUAGCUUUAUUAACAAGAUAUUCCAAAAAUAAUAUUACCUUAUAAGUAUAAGAUUUAUUGAGAAUUUAUUAAAGAAUAUUCUACUUCUUAGCUUAUCAUGCAAGCUAAAUCAAUGAGAAACGUCUACCAAUUUACUAUAAAUAAGACAUUCACAGUAGAAGAAACGAAAUAAUUGAACUUUGUAUUCUGAACUUUUAAUGUUAAUAAUGUUCUGAACUUUUUUCUUCUUCUUAUUUUAGAACAUUAAGCUUUUAUAUUUCAUGAGAGCUGAUUUUUCUUUUGGUUUAUAUGCAGAUACUCUAUUAUGACGAUUUCUCCACUGAAGCUAUAUAUGAUUUGAUUGUACACCUCUUUGAUAUAUAAUUUCGAUAACAUCUUUGUUCCUCAAUCUGGUAAAAAAAUUUUACUCAAUUUGAUAACAUCUCUCAGCUAAAUCAUUUCAAUAGCAUCUUUUUGUGCUGCGAAUAUUUUUUUUUUUUAUUUGUAGAUUUAUAUUAUUGUUUAGAAUUAUAAGCUUAUAUAUACACAUAUUUGUUUUUUGGUUUGCUGAUUGUGAUUUUUUUUAUAUUUUUUUCAGAGAUGAUUUGAGAGAAGUGGUCAUAUUUCAUACCUCUAAGAGUUCACCAUUCCGAUCCUGCAAAAGAUGUGCACUUAGAAUGGUAUUUUCUCUACUGUACAUCAAAAUUGGAUAAUCAAUUAUAUUUUUAAAAUAUCUAUAGUAGAAUGGUAUUUUCUCUACUGAAAUAAUAUCUUAUUUCCUAAUCUCAUGCUUUAAUAUUUAAACUUUAAGGACAAGAUUUGUUAAUUAAAUCAUUAGUGUAAACUACUCCCGAGAUAUUCUCUUUUUUAUAUUUAAAAUGUAAUUUUAGUAACAAUAUAUUCCAUAAAUAAUCCUAACUUAUAGGUAGAUACAUUUUUAAAAUUAAUUUGAGAACAUUCUAUUACAUAGCUUAUUGUGAAAGCUAAAUAUUUUAGUAAAGUCUAGCAUUUUACUUAUCUUUUGUGUUUGCUCGAUUCAAAUAACAUCUUUUUGAGAUCAUUUCUCUGUUUAAUUCAUUAAAUACUCACUAAAUAUUUUAGAUGUCAGAGAAACGAAAUUAAUUGACAAGAUAUUUUCUCUCCUAAAAUCAUGCAUUUAAAUCUUAAUAUUUAUGGUGAGACUUGUCAACCAAAACUCUGGUACAAUCUAUUCACGAGAUGUUCUCAUUUAGCUUUAUUAACAAGAUAUUCCAAAAAUAAUAUUACCUUAUAAGUAUAAGAUAUAUUGAGAAUUUAUUAAAGAAUAUUUACUUCUUAGCUUAUCAUGUUUUUAUCAAAA
rnacentral:lncRNA from 1 species